ACUCCUACGGGAGGCAGCAGUAGGGAAUCUUCCACAAUGGGCGAAAGCCUGAUGGAGCAACGCCGCGUGGGUGAAGAAGGUCUUCGGAUCGUAAAACCCUGUUGUUAGAGAAGAAAGUGCGUGAGAGUAACUGUUCACGUUUCGACGGUAUCUAACCAGAAAGCCACGGCUAACUACGUGCCAGCAGCCGCGGUAAUACGUAGGUGGCAAGCGUUAUCCGGAUUUAUUGGGCGUAAAGGGAACGCAGGCGGUCUUUUAAGUCUGAUGUGAAAGCCUUCGGCUUAACCGGAGUGGUGCAUUGGAAACUGGGAGACUUGAGUGCAGAAGAGGAGGGUGGAACUCCAUGUGUAGCGGUGAAAUGCGUAGAUAUAUGGAAGAACACCAGUGGCGAAAGCGGCUCUCUGGUCUGUAACUGACGCUGAGGUUCGAAAGCGUGGGUAGCAAACAGGAUUAGAUACCCUGGUAGGAUAGCG
rnacentral:rRNA from 1 species